rnacentral:snRNA from 1 species
GGGUGAUCUGGCUGUGACAUCGGUCACCCCAUUGAUCGCCAGGGUUGAUUCAGCUGAUCUGGCUAUGCGUCCCUCCCAAAGCUGCACGCUCGAUCGAAAAGGACCACCAUCCCCGAUAGAGGACUGGUCUUUGGUUAAGGGUAUAUGAGUAGCUGCGCUCCCCUGCUAGAACCUCCAAACAAGCUCUCAAGUCUCCCGUGCUAUUUUGGGUUUGGAAGAAUAUGGACAGAUGGUUUGGGGAGAAAUGCGAGAAAUAGAAUCCCAAACCAAUGUUUGUUUUU